rnacentral:tRNA from 1 species
UGGGUUGUAGCUCAGUGGUAGAGCGCUUGCCGCAUGCAUGAGGCACUGAGUUUGAUCCUCAGCAACACAC